rnacentral:rRNA from 1 species
GUACUCCUACGGGGGGCAGCAGUGGGGGAUAUUGGACAAUGGGGGAAACCCUGAUCCAGCGACGCCGCGUGAGUGAAGAAGUAUUUCGGUAUGUAAAGCUCUAUCAGCAGGGAAGAAGAUGACGGUACCUGACUAAGAAGCCCCGGCUAACUACGUGCCAGCAGCCGCGGUAAUACGUAGGGGGCAAGCGUUAUCCGGAUUUACUGGGUGUAAAGGGAGCGUAGACGGCAGGGCAAGUCUGGAGUGAAAGCCCGGGGCUCAACCCCGGGACUGCUUUGGAAACUGCCAUGCUGGAGUGCUGGAGG